AGCGAAAUUAAUUGUUGGUGAUAAUGCAAGAAAGCCCUGUCGUACCAAUGAUAUUUGAAAAGACUAGCGAAAUUUAUUGUUGGUGAUAAUGCAAGAAGGUAUUGACAUGGGUGUACGGGACCAAAACAUCAGGAUGCGGACACUAUUUUGCUCGACGAAAGCGGAAAUCCUUUACAUGCAGCGUCGUAGUUAGACAUGAAGAAAGACAUGAACUUCUGGGGAGCAUAUUUCCUGACGCCAAGCCACUGAUCUGAUAAUAGACUGGAUCUACA